rnacentral:rRNA from 1 species
UACGAAGGGGGGUAGCGUUGCUCGGAAUUACUGGGCGUAAAGCGCGCGUAGGCGGACCUGCAAGUCGGGGGUGAAAGCCCGAGGCUCAACCUCGGAACUGCCUUCGAUACUGCGGGUCUCGAGUCCGGGAGAGGUGAGUGGAAUUCCUAGUGUAGAGGUGAAAUUCGUAGAUAUUAGGAAGAACACCAGUGGCGAAGGCGGCUCACUGGCCCGGUACUGACGCUGAGGCGCGAAAGCGUGGGGAGCAAACAGG